rnacentral:rRNA from 1 species
GACAGAGGCCUCAAGCGUUAGGCGGAAUUACUGGGCGUAAAGCGUGCGCAGGCGGUUGUGCAAGACAGAUGUGAAAUCCCCGGGCUCAACCUGGGAACUGCAUUUGUGACUGCACGGCUAGAGUGUGUCAGAGGGGGGUAGAAUUCCACGUGUAGCAGUGAAAUGCGUAGAUAUGUGGAGGAAUACCGAUGGCGAAGGCAGCCCCCUGGGAUGACACUGACGCUCAUGCACGAAAGCGUGGGGAGCAAACAGG